UUGUGGUCCUCCCCUCGACGGGCCGCCCGCUUUGUGGUCCUCCCCUCGACGGGCCGCCCGCUUUGUGGUCCUCCCCUCGAUGGGCCGCCCGCUUUGAGGUCCUCCCCUCGAGGGGCCGCCCGCUUUGUGGUCCUCCCCUGGACGGGCCGCCCGCUUUGUGGUCCUCCCCUGGACGGGCCGCCCGCUUUGAGGUCCUCCCCUGGACGGGCCGCCCGCUUUGAGGUCCUCCCCUGGACGGGCCGCCCGCUUUGAGGUCCUCCCCUGGACGGGCCGCCCGCUUUGAGGUCCUCCCCUGGACGGGCCGCCCGCUUUGAGGUCCUCCCCUCGACGGGCCGCCCGCUUUGAGGUCCUCCCCUCGACGGGCCGCCCGCUUUGAGGUCCUCCCCUCGACGGGCCGCCCGCUUUGAGGUCCUCCCCUGGACGGGCCGCCCGCUUUGAGGUCCUCCCCUGGACGGGCCGCCCGCUUUGAGGUCCUCCCCUGGACGGGCCGCCCGCUUUGAGGUCCUCCCCUCGACGGGCCGCCCGCUUUGAGGUCCUCCCCUGGACGGGCCGCCCGCUUUGAGGUCCUCCCCUCGACGGGCCGCUCUUCCUGGCAUCAGACAGGAAACACUGCAGCUGUGGUGGAGGAAGAACAGCCUAAGCUGCCUAGGCCUUGGGGGUGACCCCCUGCAACCCCCAGAGGCAACACGGAUGUCCUCCCCUGCCCCUGCAACACUCACAAUGGGCCAGCUUUUCGCAAGGAAAUUAUGGAGGACGGGCGCAGGCCCUCGUUGCACACUGUCAUUAUUCUCAUCGCAUGGCUCUUGAGCUUUUCUUGAGGCCAGACCAAAAAAAAAAAAAGUGUUGUUGCAGAGUAAAGUGUGAAGACGUGAGGAAUUUGGAGUCACGCCACUUAUACGGAAACGCUUUGCCUCUGAGGGCCUGUCCUUUACUCCCGGCUGGUUAAAAACAACACAGAGCUGCACCA